CAGCAUGAUGGGGAAAUUUUUUAUGAGGUCUUUUAAUCUCUCCCAUGCCUCAUGGAACUGUUCACUAUCGUGCUGUGAAAAGCUAGUGAGAGCUCGUCUUAUGUGG
rnacentral:snoRNA from 1 species